rnacentral:rRNA from 1 species
GACGUAGGGGGCCAGCGUUGUUCGGAAUUACUGGGUGUAAAGGGUUCGUAGGCGGUGCGGCAAGUCGGGAGUGAAAUCUCUGGGCUCAACCCAGAGGCUGCUUCCGAAACUGCUGUGCUUUGAGUGUGGAGAGGCGCGUGGAAUUGCAGGUGUAGCGGUGAAUGCGUAGAUAUCUGCAGGAACACCGUGGCGAAGCGGCGCGCUGGACCACUACUGACGCUGAAGAACGAAGCUAGGAGCAACAGG